UUUCCGUAGGUGAACCUGCGGAAGGAUCAUUACUGAGUUAGGGUCUUUAUGGCCCGACCUCCAACCCUUUAUUUAAUCUACCAUGUUGCUUUGGCAGGCCCGCUUAGAAAUGGGCCGCCGGAGACCUUUGAGUCUCUGGUCAGUGCCUGCCAGUAGCCUUUCUAAAUUCAUUUAUAACCGUGUCUGAAUAUACAAAGAAAAAUUAAAAUAAAACUUUCAACAACGGAUCUCUUGGUUCUG
rnacentral:misc_RNA from 1 species